AGAGUUUGAUCAUGGCUCAGAUUGAACGCUGGCGGCAGGCUUAACACAUGCAAGUCGAGCGGAGACUUCGGUCUUAGCGGCGAACGGGUGAGUAAUACCUAGGAAUCUGCCUAUUAGUGGGGGAUAACGGCUCGAAAGGGUCGCUAAUACCGCAUACGUCCUACGGGAGAAAGUGGGGGAUCUUCGGACCUCACGCUAAUAGAUGAGCCUAGGCCGGAUUAGCUAGUUGGUAGGGUAAAGGCCUACCAAGGCGACGAUCCGUAGCUGGUCUGAGAGGAUGAUCAGCCACACUGGAACUGAGACACGGUCCAGACUCCUACGGGAGGCAGCAGUGGGGAAUAUUGGACAAUGGGGGCAACCCUGAUCCAGCCAUGCCGCGUGUGUGAAGAAGGCCUUCGGGUUGUAAAGCACUUUAAGCGAGGAGGAAGGUCUUUGAACUAAUAUUUCAAAGAAUUGACGUUACUCGCAGAAUAAGCACCGGCUAACUCUGUGCCAGCAGCCGCGGUAA
rnacentral:rRNA from 1 species